AUUGAACGCUGGCGGCAGGCUUAACACAUGCAAGUCGAGCGAGUGGCGGACGGGUGAGUAAUGUCUGGGAAACUGCCUGAUGGAGGGGGAUAACUACUGGAAACGGUAGCUAAUACCGCAUACCAUCGGAUGUGCCCAGAUGGGAUUAGCUAGUAGGUGGGGUAAUGGCUCACCUAGGCGACGAGCCCUAGCUGGUCUGAGAGGAUGACCAGCCACACGGGAACUGAGACACGGUCCAGACUCCUACGGUAGGCAGUAGUGGGGAAUAGUGCACAAGGGGCGCAAUCCUGAUGCAGCCAUGCCGCGUGUGUGAAGAAGGCCGUCGGGUUGUAAAGUACUUUCAGCGAGGAGGCGUUACUCGCAGAAGAAGCACCGGCUAACUCCGUGCCAGCAGCCGCGGUAAUUC
rnacentral:rRNA from 1 species